ACACGAUUUGAAGGUAGGCUCUAAUUUGAUUUUUUAGAGCGUAGGCUCUAUACAAACGCGAUCGACAUACAAAACGACAAUUAUGUAAGGAAAGACCGAAAACUCACCACCAAAGUAAAUAAAUAUCAAAUUAACUAAGUCAAAUGGACUACUUCUAUUCAAAGGAGAAAGCAGAGGGGGAUAGAGACUUUCGAGAGCGAGGUUAUACCACUGCAGAGGGAGAGGACAUUUGUGCUGAUUCUGCUGCUGAGAAGAUAGAGAAAAGGUCGAAGGAAAGAGAAUUCUCUUUUUAUCUGAGAUUAUGAGAGGAACACUCAUUCUAGGGAACUAGGCCUUACUUGGGCCGAAUUAGUGGGACUUGGGCCGAGUCUGAGUACUUGGCUUGGGCACCGGCUGGAUAACCGGCCUGAGUCAUUGUUUCGAACACUAGUUAUGAUGGAGAAUUGAUGGGUCAAAGCUGGUGGCUUCUCCAAUUAUGGCGAAAUCAUGUGAAUCGUGUGCUUUUAUGCCGUAUUGGGAGGUUGAAAUAAAGGAAUGCAAACAGACAAUUGUCACAUUAAAGAUGUAGACCUGUCUCUGAAGACUGCAUUGGCUCAGACCAGUCACGACCUCAAUUGAUGAAACAACGAUGCAGAGAUAAAGUUCAUAGAAAAACUGUUCCUAUACUUGGGGGACCUUCAAAUUCACGACUCUCUAGUUCAAUGCAAUCCACCCUAUCGAUAGCUUCUUCUGCGCAAACCCAAACGCUUGAAAAUGUUAUUAAUGAAGAUUGGAUACAUAUUGAAUGGCUGGUUAUUUUGCACCAUGGCAGCAAAUGUUCAGCUCUGGAAAACCAAUGCGCAUAUCAUGUCUGUGUAAAUGCACAAAGGCUUUGGAUGCACAUUUCUAGUUGUGAACGUGUUCAUUGUCUCGUUACCCUUUGCCCUUUGCCAGCCGCUGAGGAAAUUGUGGGGGCACUAUUGUCAUUGUAGCGAGGAUGCUUGCUUUUUUUUUGUACUCACGUGAUUACAUUUGAACAAAAGCCAUCUUUGAACCAGCCAUCAAAUUCAGGGAAGGUGGAUUUGAUAAGGAGUAGGGAAGAGGCUAUGAGCUCAGAGCUUUUGGGGGAUGUGCAACAUCCAUUGAAAAGAAUGACGGUUGAACAAUCUGGAAGUGCAAUACCCAUUUUCACCAAUGAAGAUUUAACCAAAGAAGUGCAAUACCCAAUAUCAGAGGUUUGUGAUCUUGGGAAAGCAAAAACAGGUGUUCAAAUCAAAGAGCCUAGUUUUGUUGAUGUUGGGAGUUCCCUACCUUUGUGUCAUGAGAGUCAAGGGAACAAACUGGAAAAUGGUAUGGAGCACACUUCUCAGGUGAAAGGUGAUAUUUCUUUCACUUCCUCAGAUGGGUUGUUAUCCCAAGCCACCAAUGAAGAUUGCACUGAGAUAAACGAGUGCCGAAUGGAAAUAAACCAGGAAUCUGUUAUCUUACUAGCUGAUCAUGAAGCAGGAACUAUGCAUGGGAUGUAGAAGCUAAGAGGUGCUUCUUUGCUUGAGUAUUUCACUCCAGAGCAAAUUAGAACUCACAUCAACUCUCUAAGGCAGUUUGUGGGUCCGGUUAGUACUCUACUUUCUCAAGGUAUACCAUUCUAAUUUCAUGCUUCUCGACGUCUUUGCUAUGGGGGGAAUGCAGGCAUUAUGUUUUCUGUGGGAUUUACAUUCUGAAAUAUAUUAGCCUUGGGGUAACUAAUUGCAAUCGUCAUUUUUUAAGCUUAUUGUAACAGUAAGAUUUACAUGUUUCUCUCUGGGAUUGCAAAAUUUUAAUUUAAUAGAUAUAACUGUCUCGUCCUAUGAAAUUUACAACCACCGGUCUACUUUCUUUUUUCACUGUGAAUGCGGUAUUCUGCCUUAUUUUUAUGAUGCAUAUGAUUAAAUGGAUAAGACUGUCGAGGUAAUUAGAUUUUCAAGUAGUUAUUUGACUUAGUAUUAUGAGAGAAUUGAUUUCCAGUAUAUUUGUGGUAUUGUGCUUCUUUUUUUCUUUUUUUAACUUUUUGGGAUUAUUCUGUCUCGAACAUGAUAUAUAAAAUAUUGGUUUGAUCGUCUUGUUGGCACCAAUUUUUCACUGUACGCUGGUCUACCUUUGAGUUCUUUGAACUUUGUGUAGCCUAGUUUUGUAAAUGAUAAUGUUAAAAGAAAAUCUUGCACAUUCUUCACGAAAAUUUCACAAUAUUACUGUUUAAGUGCUUUCUUCUACAUGCAUGAACUGGGACAGCGCAUCUGUGGGCUUCUAGAAUAGUUGGACUUUUAAUAUGCAGUCAUCGUUCUUGUUCUUUCUUGUUUUCUUAGUUGGCCUUUUUCGUUUUUGAUUGGUAACUUAAUUUCAUUAACUUUUGGAGAACUUUCAUGUACAUAAACUUACAUGUAAAUCUGAUUAGUGGGGAAUGUGUUAGUUGAUUUGUUGGCCUUGAA